rnacentral:rRNA from 1 species
AUGAACGCUGGCGGCGUGCCUAAUCCAUGCAAGUCGAGCGAACAGACGAGGAGCUUGCUCCUCUGACGUUAGCGGCGGACGGGUGAGUAACACGUGGAUAACCUACCUAUAAGACUGGGAUAACUUCGGGAAACCGGAGCUAAUACCGGAUAAUAUAUUGAACCGCAUGGUUCAAUAGUGAAAGACGGUUUUGCUGUCACUUAUAGAUGGAUCCGCGCCGCAUUAGCUAGUUGGUAAGGCAACGGCUUACCAAGGCGACGAUGCGUAGCCGACCUGAGAGGGUGAUCGGCCACACUGGAACUGAGACACGGUCCAGACUCCUACGGGAGGCAGCAGUAGGGAAUCUUCCGCAAUGGGCGAAAGCCUGACGGAGCAACGCCGCGUGAGUGAUGAAGGUCUUCGGAUCGUAAAACUCUGUUAUUAGGGAAGAACAAAUGUGUAAGUAACUAUGCACGUCUUGACGGUACCUAAUCAGAAAGCCACGGCUAACUACGUG